rnacentral:ncRNA from 1 species
CCUUAUGAUGGCGGCUCUAACGACAUCGUAGCGUCAUAAGGUUAUAGCGUUACUAGUAGGGUAAGAGGCUGAAACAGCGCAAUACAGGUGGCGAAAAUAGUGCCUGUGCCUCGCAAGACUGUUGGGU